UUUUUAAAAAUCAAAAACAUAUAUCUGUUAAUGAGCACUUCUGAUCAGCAAGAAAAAGCCAGGUUAUCUGGUGGGCUAGUAUUAUUAGCAUCAAACAAAAUUCAAGUCCACCCUGUGGGCUAAGAGCAAAUCUAUAUGUUCAUCCCGUGUCACAAAGUCUUUGUCAUAACAUAAAGUGCCUCAGUGAGAGCCACCAGUGGUGGAGCAUUACACGUCAAGAAGAGUAUAUCCUCUCGCAGGCCCCGCCCAGGGCCAGAGUCUAUCAUCUCUAUGGCAGUGUAACUGUAAGCAGAGAUGAACCCUGCAUUCACACCUUGGCACUAGCACAGACUGGCCUGGCCUGGGAAGCACCAGAGGAGAAAAGAGUGGACACCACCAAGAGAGAGCCUGAGGGUGACUGUAGUCCCAUGAGUACAGAAGGGGAAAUGAGGAGAAAAGGACACCGCCACUCAGGUGCCGGGGAAAGCGGGACAGAGCAUGUUCUGGCACAUGAAGAAUUUGUAAUGUUAAAAGAAUAUCCUACAGCCCAAGGCCCCGGGUACACGAGAAACAGGCAAGCAGGCAGGGAUGACUGCAGGAUAAAAAGGAAAAGAAGAAAAGAAGGAAGCAGAAAGAAUAAUCCUGAAAAAGAGCUCCAGUUAUAUUUCGAAGAACAGAUGUAAUUAUUAUAUCAAGAUUUCUUACAACUCAUCUUGAUUUUCUAUUUCUGUUAACUCCCUCUACCAAUUAUUCUCUAUAAAGAUUCCAUUUAAAAAACCCUCACAUUCAUCCAAAGGCUGAACACAGAACUUGUGUGAUCCAGCAAUUCUACUCAUUUAUAUACUCAUUUAUAUACAGGUUUUAAAAGAAUUGAAAACAGAGACGCAGAUACUUGCACACCAAUGUCCAUUUCAGCAUCAUUCGUUAUUCAAAUGACUAAAGGGCUGAAAGGUGGAAACAACUCAAAUGUCCACAAACAUGGAUGAACAAAAUGUAGUGUACGCAAAUGGAAUGUUAUUCAGCCAAAGAAAGAGAUGAUAUUCUGGUAUCUGGCAGAACACAACUGAACCUUGAAAACACUACACUAAGUGAAAUAAGCCAGACACAAAAGGACAAAUAUUGGCUGAUCUCACUUAUAUGAAAUAUUUAAAAUAGGCAAAUUGGUGUAGACAGGAAGUAGGUAAGUGGUUAUCGGGGAUGGGCAGAAAGGGAAAUGAAAGGUUGUUGCUUAGUUGCUAAAAAGCUUUUGUUUGGGCUGAUGACAAACUUUGAAAAUAGUGGUAAUAGUUGCACAAUACAGGGCAUACAAUUAAUACCACUAAAUUAAACAUUCAGAAAGGGUUAACAUGGUAACUUUCACGAUAUGUAAUUUUACCACAAUAAAAAAAUUUUUUUUUAACUCACAGACAUUUUUAUGUUUCUUGCUCUAAAGAAGGCAAACCUAGGUAGCAGCAGAACAGACAGGUGUAUCCUCUGAGAGUCCUGUAGGAACUCUUAGGGCACAGUAGUCCUUUAAGGGUUCCCAAAACUACAAUUCCAGCUUGCAAGUCUAUUGUGAACUCCAAUCUGCAUCUGCAACUGCACCUGACCACCUCGGCCUUACUAUAUCUGAAAGAAAGUCUUCAGUAAUAAAAGGCAAAAGUAGAGAUUACUUACAUUAAGAACAAAUAAUAGGGGGCUGGGGAUUUAGCUCAGUGGUUUCGCUGCCUGCUGCGCAAGCACAAGGACCUGAGUUUGAUCCCCAGUACAAAAACAAAAACAAUAACAAAAAAGA
rnacentral:lncRNA from 1 species